CAGGGGGCUAUCCGUGCACCCUCCUCUUCCCACCUUAAGUUUACUGAGGUGACUUCCCCCGGCACCACAGAGAAAAUCUGCAAGUUCCCAAGCUGGUGUUGCUUUAUCAAUAGUGGUUGAAGAAUUAAAGAGGUAUUUAAUACUAUGCCUCCUUUGUGCCGCUAUGUCACCUACAUGCCUUUCACGGCUCAGGAUAAAUUGUAAUAAUCUUGGCAGAUGAUGUCGCACCUUGUCAUCUCAAUGGCUCUGGAAAGGAGAGCUCUAAGCAGCUCAUCAGUGAUUACAAAGUUUCUCUGCCUUUCUUAUAACUUAAGAGAAUGAAAUUUGGUGCCUGCAGUUAGUUGUACCUCCAUUUAUCCAGGCCAUAAACUCCUGUACAAAGCCAGCAAGCUCCAUCUGUUGGUACCUAAAAUGCAAUACAGGGAUGAACAGAGGGCCAGCCGUGCUUCUCCGUGUUUGGUGUGGUUUGGACUACAGUGAUUUCAACUGCAAGCAGCUAGGGGAGAGAUAUAUCUUGGGUUUGGAUGAACUGACAUUGUGAAACACUGUUUAAUCAGAAAAUCCUUUCCAAUUUCUGCUGAUGGCUGAUGAUCUCCUUAUAAGUAGUCAUAAUGAAUAGGAAGCCAGAAAAAGUAAGCAAUGCUAGGGCAACCAUGUAGAUGGGGCAUAGAAUGACUUCUGGGCAACCAGGCUGUGCCUGGAUGGAUUACGCUCUGAUAAAACCACGUCUCUCUCUGCUGCUGACCUUUCCUCUGAUGUACUAAAUUCAAAGCAACCUGCUCUUUUUGAGUCAAUAAAGUGGA